rnacentral:rRNA from 1 species
GAUGAACGCUGGCGGCGUGCCUAAUACAUGCAAGUCGAGCGAACAGACGAGGAGCUUGCUCCUCAGACGUUAGCGGCGGACGGGUGAGUAACACGUGGAUAACCUACCUAUAAGACUGGGAUAACUUCGGGAAACCGGAGCUAAUACCGGAUAAUAUAUUGAACCGCAUGGUUCAAUAGUGAAAGACGGUUUUGCUGUCACUUAUAGAUGGAUCCGCGCCGCAUUAGCUAGUUGGUAAGGUAACGGCUUACCAAGGCGACGAUGCGUAGCCGGCCUGAGAGGGUGAUCGGCCACACUGGAACUGAGACACGGUCCAGAGUCCUCCGGGAGGCAGCAGUAGGGAAUCUUCCGCGAUGGGCGAGAGCCUGACGGAGCAACGCGGCGUGAGUGAUGCAGGUCUUCGGAUCGUAAAAAUCUGUUAUUAGGGAAGAACAAAUGUGUAAGUAACUAUGCACGUCUUGACGGUACCUACUCAGAAAGCCACGGCUAACUACGUG